CAACUUUUGACAACGGAUCUCUUGGCUCUCACAACGAUGAAGAACGUAGCGAAUUGCGAUAAGUAGUGUGAAUUGCAGAAUUCAGUGAAUCAUCGAAUUUUUGAACGCAUAUUGCGCUCUCUGGUAUUCCGGGGAGCAUGCCUGUUUGAGAACCAUUC
rnacentral:rRNA from 1 species